CACUAUCAUUAACUGAAUCCAUAGGUUAAUGAGGCGAACCGGGGGAACUGAAACAUCUAAGUACCCCGAGGAAAAGAAAUCAACCGAGAUUCCCCCAGUAGCGGCGAGCGAACGGGGAGGAGCCCAGAGCCUGAAUCAGUGUGUGUGUUAGUGGAAGCGUCUGGAAAGGCGCGCGAUACAGGGUGACAGCCCCGUACACAAAAAUGCACAUAUUGUGAGCUCGAUGAGUAGGGCGGGACACGUGGUAUCCUGUCUGAAUAUGGGGGGACCAUCCUCCAAGGCUAAAUACUCCUGACUGACCGAUAGUGAACCAGUACCGUGAGGGAAAGGCGAAAAGAACCCCGGCGAGGGGAGUGAAAAAGAACCUGAAACCGUGUAC
rnacentral:rRNA from 1 species